ACGGAACAGGCAAGCGUUGUUCGGAAUCACUGGGCUUAAAGCGCGUGUAGGCGGCUCGGUAAGUACCGUGUGAAAUCCCCCGUCUCAACCGGGGCACUGCUUGGUAUACUGCCGGGCUUGAGUAGGGUAGAGGUAGCUGGAACUCUAGGUGGAGCGGUGAAAUGCGUAGAUAUCUAGCGGAACACCAACGGCGAAGGCAGGUUACUGGGCCAUUCCUGACGCUGAGGCGCGAAAGCGUGGGUAGCAAACAG
rnacentral:rRNA from 1 species